rnacentral:rRNA from 1 species
CUACGGGGGGCUGCAGUGGGGAAUAUUGUACAAUGGGCGCAAGCCUGAUGCAGCCAUGCCGCGUGUAUGAAGAAGGCCUUCGGGUUGUAAAGUACUUUCAGCGGGGAGGAAGGGAGUAAAGUUAAUACCUUUGCUCAUUGACGUUACCCGCAGAAGAAGCACCGGCUAACUCCGUGCCAGCAGCCGCGGUAAUACGGAGGGUGCAAGCGUUAAUCGGAAUUACUGGGCGUGAAGCGCACGCAGGCGGUUUGUUAAGUCAGAUGUGAAAUCCCCGGGCUCAACCUGGGAACUGCAUCUGAUACUGGCAAGCUUGAGUCUCGUAGAGGGGGGUAGAAUUCCAGGUGUAGCGGUGAAAUGCGUAGAGAUCUGGAGGAAUACCGGUGGCGAAGGCGGCCCCCUGGACGAAGACUGACGCUCAGGUGCGAAAGCGUGGGGAGCAAACAGGAUUAGAUACCCCUGUAGUC